rnacentral:rRNA from 1 species
AACCGUGUACGUACAAGCAGUGGGAGCACAGGUUUACCUGUGUGACUGCGUACCUUUUGUAUAAUGGGUCAGCGACUUAUAUUCUGUAGCAAGGUUAACCGAAUAGGGGAGCCGGAGGGAAACCGAGUCUUAAUUGGGCGUUAAGUUGCAGGGUAUAGACCCGAAACCCGGUGAUCUAGCCAUGGGCAGGUUGAAGGUUGGGUAACACUAACUGGAGGACCGAACCGACUAAUGUUGAAAAAUUAGCGGAUGACCUGUGGCUGGGGGUGAAAGGCCAAUCAAACCGGGAGAUAGCUGGUUCUCCCCGAAAGCUAUUUAGGUAGCGCCUCGUGAAUUCAUCUCCGGGGGUAGAGCACUGUUUCGGCUAGGGGGCCAUCCCGGCUUACCAACCCGAUGCAAACUGCGAAUACCGGAGAAUGUUAUCACGGGAGACACACGGCGGGUGCUAACGUCCGUCGUGAAGAGGGAAACAACCCAGACCGCCAGCUAAGGUCCCAAAGUCAUGGUUAAGUGGGAAACGAUGUGGGAAGGCCCAGACAGCCAGGAUGUUGGCUUAGAAGCAGCCAUCAUUUAAAGAAAGCGUAAUAGCUCACUGGUCGAGUCGGCCUGCGCGGAAGAUGUAACGGGGCUAAACCAUGCACCGAAGCUGCGGCAGCGACACUCAGGUGUUGUUGGGUAGGGGAGCGUUCUGUAAGCCUGUGAAGGUGUGCUGUGAGGCAUGCUGGAGGUAUCAGAAGUGCGAAUGCUGACAUAAGUAACGAUAAAGCGGGUGAAAAGCCCGCUCGCCGGAAGACCAAGGGUUCCUGUCCAACGUUAAUCGGGGCAGGGUGAGUCGACCCCUAAGGCGAGGCCGAAAGGCGUAGUCGAUGGGAAACGGGUUAAUAUUCCCGUACUUGGUGUUACUGCGAAGGGGGGACGGAGAAGGCUAUGUUGGCCGGGCGACGGUUGUCCCGGUUUAAGCGUGUAGGUGUGUGUUCCAGGUAAAUCCGGUUCACUUUAACACUGAGGCGUGAUGACGAGGCACUACGGUGCUGAAGCAACAAAUGCCCUGCUUCCAGGAAAAGCCUCUAAGCAUCAGGUAACAUCAAAUCGUACCCCAAACCGACACAGGU